rnacentral:misc_RNA from 1 species
UACGUAGGGGGCAAGCGUUGUCCGGAUUUAUUGGGCGUAAAGCGCGCGCAGGCGGUCCUUUAAGUCUGGUGUGAAAUCUUUCGGCUUAACCGCAAGCGGUCGUUGGAAACUGGGGGACUUGAGUACAGAAGAGGAGAGCGGAAUUCCACGUGUAGCGGUGAAAUGCGUAGAUAUGUGGAGGAACACCAGUGGCGGAGGCGGCUCGCUGGGCUGUAACUGACGCUGAGGCGCGAAAGCGUGGGGAGCAAACAGA